GACGAACGCUGGCGGCGCGCUUAACACAUGCGAGUCGAACGGAAAGGCCUGCUUUCCCUUGUGGAUUGCGGUUACUCGAGUGGCGAACGGGUGAGUAACACGUGAGUGAUCUUCCCCCAACUUUUGUAUAAGCCUGGGAAACUGGGUCUAAUUCCCGAUAGGACUGCAGUGUGGUGCCGGUGGUUGAAGACGAUGUUCUAGUGGUUGGGGAUGAGCUGGCGGCCUGUCAGCUUGUGGGUGGCGUAAUGGCUGACCAGGGCGGCGUCGGGUAGCCGGCCUGGGAGAGCGGGCGGGCACAGUGGGACUGCGACACGGGCACGACGACUCCGGGAGGAAGCAGUCGGGAAUAUUGCACAAUGGGUGGAAGCCUGAUGCAGCGACGCUGAGUGGGGAACGCCGGGCUUCGGGUUGUAACCUCCUUGUGACCGCGAGGAAGCGCCCGGGUUGGAAGGGUGGUGACGGUAGUGGUAGAAGAAGCACCGGCUAACUACGUG
rnacentral:rRNA from 1 species